AGGACGUAGUUGGUUGUUGUUAGCUAGCUACUGUUUGACGUUCCCGAGUGGAAUCAUCUUUCAUAGACCUUAUGCUAUUACCAUCUGAGGCCCUCAACAUAGGACUGGAGGCCAUUGUUGAAAAAGUUUCGUGGUGGAGAAAUGUGGCUGCAACAAAAAAGAGGAUCUGAAGAUAGUUAGGUCAAAGCUGGAUGAAGACAAGGCCUCAAAUGGAUUAAAAGUGUUGUAAUUA